AGUGAACGCUGGCGGUAGGCCUAACACAUGCAAGUCGAACGGCAGCACAGUAAGAGCUUGCUCUUACGGGUGGCGAGUGGCGGACGGGUGAGGAAUACAUCGGAAUCUACUUUUUCGUGGGGGAUAACGUAGGGAAACUUACGCUAAUACCGCAUACGACCUACGGGUGAAAUCAGGGGAUCUUCGGACCUUGCGCGAUUGAAUGAGCCGAUGUCGGAUUAGCUAGUUGGCGGGGUAAAGGCCCACCAAGGCGACGAUCCGUAGCUGGUCUGAGAGGAUGAUCAGCCACACUGGAACUGAGACACGGUCCAGACUCCUACGGGAGGCAGCAGUGGGGAAUAUUGGACAAUGGGCGCAAGCCUGAUCCAGCCAUACCGCGUGGGUGAAGAAGGCCUUCGGGUUGUAAAGCCCUUUUGUUGGGAAAGAAAAGCAGCAGGUUAAUACCCCGAUGUUCUGACGGUACCCAAAGAAUAAGCACCGGCUAACUUCGUG
rnacentral:rRNA from 1 species